CACGUAAUCAAGUUGCCCUCGAGACCGGGAUAACAGCGGGAAACUGCUGCUAAAACCGGAUGGUCCUACCGGGUCGCAUGGCCUGGUAGGUAAAUGGUUGGGAUCCUUCGGGACCUUCUGCUCGGGGAGACGAUUGCGCUCUAUCAGCUUGUUGGUGAGGUAACGGCUCACCAAGGCUACGACGGAUAGCAGGCCUGAGAGGGUGGCCUGCCACACUGGGACUGAGACACUGCCCAGACUCCUACGGGAGGCUGCAGUCGAGAAUCUUCCGCAAUGGGCGAAAGCCUGACGGAGCGACGC
rnacentral:rRNA from 1 species